GCCCGGUUAGCUCAAUCGGUAGAGCGUGAGACUCUUAUUAAGAGUACACAAUCUCAAGGUUGCGGGUUCGACCCCCGCAUCGGGCU
rnacentral:tRNA from 1 species